AGCGUAGGCGGGAUAGCAAGUCAGAUGUGAAAACUAUGGGCUCAACCUGUAGAUUGCAUUUGAAACUGUUGUUCUUGAGUGAAGUAGAGGUAAGCGGAAUUCCUAGUGUAGCGGUGAAAUGCGUAGAUAUUAGGAGGAACAUCGGUGGCGAAGGCGGCUUACUGGGCUUUUACUGACGCUGAGGCUCGAAAGCGUGGGAGCAAACA
rnacentral:rRNA from 1 species